rnacentral:sRNA from 1 species
CCAUAGCCCUGAUGGAAGCGGCAUCCUUUUUCCGGCUUAUUUAGCCGGGAAAAGAUAUAGCGAACAGCAGGAAACAGC